rnacentral:rRNA from 1 species
GUAGGGAGCAAGCGUUGUUCGGAUUUACUGGGCGUAAAGGGCGCGUAGGCGGCAGAUUAAGUCAGCUGUGAAAUCUCCGAGCUUAACUCGGAACUGUCAGCUGAUACUGUUUUGCUAGAGUGCGGAAGGGGCAAUCGGAAUUCUUGGUGUAGCGGUGAAAUGCGUAGAUAUCAAGAGGAACACCUGAGGUGAAGACGGGUUGCUGGGCCGACACUGACGCUGAGUGCGCGAAAGCCAGGGGAGCAAACGGGAUUAGAUACCCCGGUAGUCCUGGNCUUAAACGAUGAAUACUUGGUGUCUGGAGUCUCUAUAGCUCCGGGUGCCGUCGCUAACGUUUUUAGUAUUCCGCCUGGGGAGUACGCACGCAAGUGUG